GACAGAGGGUGCAAACGUUGCUCGGAAUUACUGGGCGUAAAGCGCGUGUAGGUGGAUUGGUGUGUCAGAUGUGAAAUCCCUGGGCUCAACCCAGGAACUGCACCUGAAACUACCAGUCUUGAGUGGUGGAGAGGGAAGUGGAAUUCCUGGUGUAGAGGUGAAAUUCGUAGAUAUCAGGAGGAACACCAGUGGCGAAGGCGGCUUCCUGGACACCAACUGACGCUGAGAUGCGAAAGCGUGGGGAGCAAACAGG
rnacentral:rRNA from 1 species